AUGCUGGCCACGCCGCCGCCUCCUCCGCCGGGUGGGCCGGCGCGCGACCCGCGAGAGGUGUCCUGCGUGCCCGAGACCCCUCCUGAGCUGCUCCACGCCGCGGCUCGCGUUGCUGCUGCUGACCAUGCGCCUACCUUCAAUGCCGCAUCGGCUGGGCUGGUUACGCGUAAUAACUCCACCAGCUGGGCGGAUCGAGUUCGUGGCGGGGGUGCGCGCACUCUAAAUGCGCAUUCAACGCGAGCGGCCGCUGCGGGGCUCGAGGCGGAGGAUGGCUGGGUCACCGUCGCGUCCCGUCGGCCGCGCCGGCCGGCUUUUCCUGCUACGCCAUUCAAGCCGCGCCAUCCCAUCCCGGACUGGAUUAAAGGGAUGUGCUUCCGCUGCCUCUCCCCCCACCAUCGACAAGCGGUGUGCUGCAACCAAAUCACUUGCCGCCGUUGCUUUCAGUCCGGCCACCGCGCGAGGAACUGCUUCAACAAGCCUGCCCCGCACCUCCGUCCGGGCGCCUCCAGCUCGCGCCUCGGCCGCCCCUCCGCCUCUGGUGCGCGCCCCAACCGCCCCUCUCCACCGCGUGCGGCACCAUCGGCGGCUGUGCGCCCCUCUUCUUCGUCUCCAUCGCCGACAGCUGCCACUCGCCUCCAAGCCCAUCCCCGCACCAUGGCGUGGAAUGGAGACCACUCGCUUCGGCCGGCCGAGGUGUUCACCGUGAUCCACGCGACGCCGGCUAUGCAUCAGGAGGCGGCGCUUCUUGGCUCGAACGCUGUGGUUGCUUGGCUCGACCGCGACCUCAGGGCAUCCACGCACGACAUCGCUGCUGCCAUCGUCGAGGAGAUGGGCAUGCUGCCGGACGACGUCUGUGUGGUCAAGCACUUCCCGGAGGCCUUCCUAGUGCGCUUCUUCCACCAGCACCACUGCGCCGACGCGUCCGGGCGUCGGGACCUGAAGUUCCGCGACACCAGGCUGCAGAUGCGUCCAUGGAGGCUCGAAGCACACUCGGAGAACGUGGACCUUGUCCACCAUGUCCGCCUCUGCCUGGACGGGCUCCCACUGCAGGCGUGGGACGACUACGCCGUCGCGCAGGCCAUCGAGCCAGGGUGCUCCAUCGACUACAUCGAGACCGCUUCUAAGCUCAAGACGGACACUGAGGUCCUGGGGGUGUGGGCGUGGACGGCAUCGCCGGCAAACGUGCCACGCGUGAACUGGGUGACCCUGCCGGCGCGCGCGGGGGGUCAGCCGAUCGUCGGACGUCGCGGCCUGGAGCGGAGGGUGAUUAUUCACCUUUCCAUCCACGAAGACCCCACGCAAGGGCCAAAGAUCGUCUCCAAGGGGUACAACUUCCAGAAGGGUGUCAUCGAUGGCGAGCGACUGGCUCGUGACCCACGGGAGCGCAUCACACGCCCUAUCGAGCACCGCAGGCGUGACCGCGAUGACGACCCUGGUCGCGGCCGUGACGACAGGGAGCGUUGCGGACGCGACAACUCGCAAAGCCGCGAGGGCUGGGGCGACCGCAUCAGACGUAGCCUCUCUCGCCAGCCAAAGGAUGCAUCACGCGACAACCGCCGCGACGAGGGGCGCGAUGGCCGCCGUGAUGGUGGAGGCCGUCGUCGCUCUGCCGAGCCAGCCGUCGAGGAUCCGCCCUCCAUGGUGCUUCUGGGCUCCAGCUCUGGCAGUGGAGACGCUGCCCGCGGCCUGGAGUUGCUCCCGGUGCAGGCCCCUCCUCUGCCUGCUCCUGGGCGUGGCCGCAGUCCGACACGCCAGCUUUCGCCACGCUUGGCGCGGCGUCGUUCCCAGGAGGCCCGCACGCCGCCUGCCUCCCCUCCGCUGUCGCCAACAACGGUGCUGCCAACACCGCCUCGGUCCAAAAGAAGUGAUGAUCGCCCAUCCCCGCUCUCGCAGGCGCGGCCAAGCCAUGUGCUGCUCCGCCUCUGUGCACCGGACUCCCUUCAGGCGCCGCUGCUCUCGCCCGCCAAGCCGCCUGGCUUCGAGGCCUCCCCGACGCCUCCACUUGCUUCCAGCGGCCCUUUGCGGCGCACGCCCUCGCCGGUGCGGCUGCGAAGGACGGCUGCGGGGGGUGGUGCCGUGGGCUUGCAGUGCCUAGCGCCCCUCUUUGAAGACCAUCAAGAGGCGAUCCUGCCGACCCCUGCUCCAGGCCUGCCGAAGGCGCCGACGGCUCGUCGGAAGACCAUGGCUGGAAUCAACAUAGCCAAGACCGGCGGUGGGUUCUCCAUCUGCAAGCCUAAGGCUGGUGCUCGCCCUAAGUCAGCCCCGGCAGCCAGGGCUGCCAAGCUCCUCGUGUGCCGCAGCUUGGGCAUUGUCAAAGACGGGGAAGACGUCACUGCCGCUGCGUUGGAUACUUUCGCGGACCGCUUCAAGGACCAGCUGUCGCCGGACGUGAUCGUGGCCAUGCGUGGGCUGUUCAAGCUUGAUGACAGUAGCGCAGUGGAUGUCGAGGAGGCCCUCAUAGCUCAUGGUGGGGGAGGUGCUCUUGACCUGGUGCAGAACGGCGACGACGCAAUGGCGCAGCUAGAGGCAAGUUGA
rnacentral:rRNA from 1 species